UCAUGGGAACCUUCAACUCUC
rnacentral:misc_RNA from 1 species